CCUACGGGAGGCAGCAGUCGAGAAUCAUUCACAAUGGGGGAAACCCUGAUGGUGCGACGCCGCGUGGGGGAAUGAAGGUCUUCGGAUGGUAAACCCCUGUCAUGUGGGAGCAAAUUAAAAAGAUAGUACCACAAGAGGAAGAGACGGCUAACGCUGUGCCAGCAGCCGCGGUAAUACAGAGGUCUCAAGCGUUGUUCGGAAUCACUGGGCGUAAAGCGUGCGUAGGCUGUUUCGUAAGUCGUGUGUGAAAGGCGCGGGCUCAACCCGCGGACGGCACAUGAUACUGCGAGACUAGAGUAAUGGAGGGGGAACCGGAAUUCUCGGUGUAGCAGUGAAAUGCGUAGAUAUCGAGAGGAACACUCGUGGCGAAGGCGGGUUCCUGGACAUUAACUGACGCUGAGGCACGAAGGCCAGGGGAGCGAAAGGGAUUAGAUACCCUUGUAGUC
rnacentral:rRNA from 1 species